rnacentral:rRNA from 1 species
UACGUAGGGUGCGAGCGUUGUCCGGAAUUAUUGGGCGUAAAGGGCUCGUAGGCGGUUUGUCGCGUCGGGAGUGAAAUCCACUGGCUUAACUGGUGGCUUGCUUUCGAUACGGGCAGACUGGAGGUAUGCAGGGGGAGAACGGAAUUCCUGGUGUAGCGGUGAAAUGCGCAGAUAUCAGGAGGAACACCGGUGGCGAAGGCGGUUCUCGUGGGGCAAUGUCCUGACGCUGAGGAGCGAAAGUGUGGGGAGCGAACAGGA